AACGAACGCUGGCGGCAUGCCUAACACAUGCAAGUCGAACGAGACCUUCGGGUCUAGUGGCGCACGGGUGCGUAACGCGUGGGAACCUGCCCUUAGGUUCGGCAUAACUCCCCGAAAGGGGUGCUAAUACCGGAUAAUGUUUUCGGACCAAAGAUUUAUCGCCUUUGGAUGGGCCCGCGUUGGAUUAGCUAGUUGGUAGGGUAAAAGCCUACCAAGGCGACGAUCCAUAGCUGGUCUGAGAGGAUGAUCAGCCACACUGGGACUGAGACACGGCCCAGACUCCUACGGGAGGCAGCAGUGGGGAAUAUUGGACAAUGGGCGAAAGCCUGAUCCAGCAAUGCCGCGUGAGUGAUGAAGGCCUUAGGGUUGUAAAGCUCGUUUACCCGGGAUGAUAAUGACAGUACCGGGAGAAUAAGCUCCGGCUAACUCCGUG
rnacentral:rRNA from 1 species